rnacentral:rRNA from 1 species
UACGAAGGGGGCUAGCGUUGCUCGGAAUCACUGGGCGUAAAGGGCGCGUAGGCGGCCAUUCAAGUCGGGGGUGAAAGCCUGUGGCUCAACCACAGAAUUGCCUUCGAUACUGUUUGGCUUGAGUUUGGUAGAGGUUGGUGGAACUGCGAGUGUAGAGGUGAAAUUCGUAGAUAUUGCAAGAACACCAGUGGCGAAGGCGGCCAACUGGACCAAUACUGACGCUGAGGCG